rnacentral:rRNA from 1 species
UACAGAGGUCUCAAGCGUUGUUCGGAUUCAUUGGGCGUAAAGGGUGCGUAGGCGGCGCGGUAAGUCGGGUGUGAAAUCUCGGAGCUUAACUCCGAAACUGCAUUCGAUACUGCCGUGCUUGAGGACUGGAGAGGAGACUGGAAUUUACGGUGUAGCGGUGAAAUGCGUAGAUAUCGUAAGGAAAACCAGUGGCGAAGGCGGGUCUCUGGACAGUUCCUGACGCUGAGGCACGAAGGUCAGGGGAGCAAACGGG